rnacentral:rRNA from 1 species
GAUGAACGCUGGCGGUGUGCCUAAUACAUGCAAGUCGAGCGAACAGACGAGGAGCUUGCUCCUCUGACGUUAGCGGCGGACGGGUGAGUAACACGUGGAUAACCUACCUAUAAGACUGGGAUAACUUCGGGAAACCGGAGCUAAUACCGGAUAAUAUAUUGAACCGCAUGGUUCAAUAGUGAAAGACGGUUUUGCUGUCACUUAUAGAUGGAUCCGCGCCGCAUUAGCUAGUUGGUAAGGUAACGGCUUACCAAGGCGACGAUGCGUAGCCGACCUGAGAGGGUGAUCGGCCACACUGGAACUGAGACACGGUCCAGACUCCUACGGGAGGCAGCAGUAGGGAAUCUUCCGCAAUGGGCGAAAGCCUGACGGAGCAACGCCGCGUGAGUGAUGAAGGUCUUCGGAUCGUAAAACUCUGUUAUUAGGGAAGAACAAAUGUGUAAGUACCUAUGCACGUCUUGACGGUACCUAAUCAGAAAGCCACGGCUAACUACGUG